rnacentral:lncRNA from 1 species
UUCUGUUCUGUUCUGCGGAUUGGUGAUGUUUGUGCCAAACACGCCUUCCGAUUUUACAUGCAUUGGAUUCGCGGUCCAAUGUGUGUGACUUGCCUGUGUGGCAUUAUGUGAUUUGCCUGUGUGGCAUUAUUUGACUUGCCUGUGUGGCAAGGUAUAUUCUAUUUUGUUCUGAGCUCGGUAUGAAAUAACACCCAGCCAUUUGAUUCAGCCUACUAUUUCGUUGUGUUAGUUUAGUUCGUUUCGUUUCAUUUCAUUUAAUUGAGUUAGUUAUUUCGGUUCAUUAUUUGUAUUCUAUAUCCGUACUG